rnacentral:rRNA from 1 species
GUCUUCAUGUUAUUUUUAUGAAGUCUGGUCUGCCCACUGAAAUUUAUUUAAAGGGCCGCGGUAUUUUGACCGUGCAAAGGUAGCAUAAUCAUUAGUCUUUUAAUUGAAGGCUUGUAUGAAUGAUCGUACAAGAGAUAACCUGUCUUAAUAAAAUUUAUUGAAUUUAACUUUUAAGUAAAAAGGCUUAAAUAUAUUAAAGUGACGAUAAGACCCUAUAAAACUUGAUAAUUGUAAUUAAAAGAAUAUAUUGGUUUGUAUAGAGUUUUUUUAAUAAAUUUUAUUUUAUUGGGGCGAUAGAAAUAUAAAUAAUAACUGUUUUUAAUAUUUAAAUGAUUUAUUGUUAGAAAUUAAAUGAUCCUUUAAUAAAGAUUAUAAGAUUAAGUUACUUUAGGGAUAACAGCGUAAUAUUCUUUGAGAGUUCAUAUCUACAAGAAGGAUUGCGACCUCGAUGUUGAAUUAAAAAUUCUCUAAGGUGUAGCAGCUUUAGUGGAGGGUCUGUUCGACCUUUAAAUUUUU